UGCCGAGCUUGCGAACUGCGAACUUGUGUAACUCCCGGUUCAUCCUCUUUGUUCGGGUCAUUGGGUUGGUGUUGGAGUUGGUCACCAUAUUCUGAACGUUUCACCUAUCAUUGCGGUGUACUGUUCUUGAUUUGCUGCGAAGCGACGAACCGCAACGGCAGUCACUCGCCUCAGCGAACUUCUGUCUGCUGCAUCUCAAAGGAGCAUGGGGACCUGAUGAUACCUUCAACUAAAGAAACCAAAUGUUCUCUCGUGCGUGGUCCUGACGGAAAAGUAGUAUCAACAAGGCUAUGCCGCUCCGAAGCAUUGAGAUGACGAAGCGUCGUGGUAGCUACACCUCUGCCUUCGAAAGAUGAAUCAGUCAUUCCACACUGUGCUUACUGGCUUUGUAUAGAGUCUGGCAAAUCCGACAGACUUGGACUGCCUUUUUCAAGAAAGUUUGAAAUAGCAUCCCUUAUGCACCUGCAUUUCAAUUCCAAUCUGUAUUACAAGAAUGACAGACCACUCAACAGAGAUGAACAUCUGAAAGUGAAAGAUUUGAAUGAAGAUACGUUAAUCUGUGUCAAAGGUUCUUAGUAUGUGUGCGAGUGGAGGACAUAGGUCUCAAGCUCAUUCCUGUCUUCAGAAGAGGUGACAACUAUGCUCCUUCUAUCUAUUAACCAGCUCCACCUUUUUGGGUUCCCUGUAAACUAAUGGAGCACAUCAUGUACUACCACGUUGUCAACCAAGUUGAGUCUGUCGAUUUCUUUUUUUAAAUUCCAGCAUGGGUUUAGAAAGGGGUAUUCGGGCAAAACUAACGUAGUGGAAUUCGUUCACAGCAUUUCAAACUGUCUUGAUUUCUGGGUCCACGUAGAUGUAGUAUUCUUUUUAUUUUGUAAGGGCUUUUGACACUGUGCUCUAUGCUCGCGUGUUGGCCAAAGUAGCCUAAUUAAAAUUUGAUCCUGCUACCUGGAUAUGCAGUUUCUCAACUAACCGUAACCGUGGCGACAACUCGUGAGGAGAACCUAUCAUAUCGCCACCAUGCAGCAUUUGUUAUGUUACAAUCGCUUCACAUUUUAAUCUAGUCAAAAGCAAGGCCUUUUGGUGAUCGGUCUUGUAUGAUUACGUGCCCCUCCGUUAUGUAACACCACACUGGGUUCUUCAACCUAUGAGAGAUAAAUAAAUAUAUUGCCAAGUAAAUUGUCUACAAGGCUCGUUAUUCCAUUUCGCCACACUACCACAAACAAUUGUUAGAGUAGUGGCCCAGGGUAUGAAGCUCGCCACUAAUCAUCACUCAAACAAAGUUCAUAAUGUAAAAUCCUUUAUUCAGAACACUGGCUUAACACAACAAUUAAGAAUAAAGAGAGUAAACGUUUCAUUGCCUAUCCAGGUGGCAUCAUCCCUCCAACAGAGAACAAUCAAAAACAACAUCAAAGGAGUCAAAUCAGUGGUCCGCAUUCCUUUCAUCCAACGUAUUUCAUACGCUAUUUGGAGGGCACUGUGCCCAUCAGGCAUUUUGACUGUGCAUAUCAAGUUGAGUGCAUAGAAUGUGAUGCAACCUACAUUGGCGAGAUAGACAAAAGACGUGGGACAAGACUAAAAGAGCCAGUUGCCAGGGCUACUAAUGCUUAGCUUAACUAAACAGGACCGAAUCAGUCUACCACUGCUGUCCUAAGGGACAUAUAUUUUGAUGGUGCAGUAACCUUUGCUCAUGACUAGCGAUGGGGCCCUAGAAAGUUCUUAGAAUCCUGCUUUAUCAGGCGUGAUGCUUCAGCCUGUAAUACAUACCGUGGCCCCCUAUCGGAUGUGUAAGAUUCCCUGUUAGAUAGGCUGAUGUGCUCAUCUUUGGCCUCUGUUGUACUGAUGAUGCCACCCGGAUAGGCGACAAAAUGUUUACGCUCUGUUUUUAUUCGUUGUGUUGAGCGGUGUUUGCAGUAAAGGACGCUACAUUAUGAGGUUGUCACCCUGCUUUUGAAAUAUAUUUUCAAAUAAAGUUGUUGUUUUACAAAGCUCAAUACA